rnacentral:rRNA from 1 species
GAUUAAAGUACCCUUCCAGUUACUUUACUUUGUUACGACUUAUUCCAAUUUUUUUGGAAGUGACGGGCGAUAUGUGCACAUUUUAGGUUAUUAUUCAAUAUAAUAUCAUAAUUUUAAUUUACUAUCAAAUCCACCUUUACUUUUUAUUCUAAAAAAUUAACAUAUUUUUAAAAAAUUGUAAUUCAUUUUUCUUUUUUAUAAGCUGCAUCAUGACCUGAAUUAUUAACUAAAACAUUAAUUAUGACAUUUUUUAUAUAAUCUUAAAACGGCGAUAUACAAGCAAUAAAAAAAGCAAAUAUCAUUGAGUAUUAUCAUUCAAAAAACAAAUUCCUCUAAUACAAAUAAAUAGCCGCCAAAUUUCUUAACUUUUAUUCAUUAAUUAUUUAAUGUAAUUUUUCUAAUAGGGUAUCUAAUCCUAGUUGUUUAUAAAACCUCUUAAUUUAAAUUUAUUUUUUUAUUCCACCAAAUUAAAUUUAAAUUUAACUUAAAGACUUAUUAAUUAUUACAUCCGUUUGACCGCGGAUGCUGGCACGAGAUUAUCCGUAAUUUUAUAUUUUGCUAUAUUUGUUUUUCAACAAAAAAUAAUUCUUCAUAAUAUUAUUAUAAAACUUCCCAUAAAAUAAUAUUUAUAACAAAAAUAUAUUAAUAGAUUAAGAAAAAAUUAAACUUUAAUCUUUUCUUCCCACAGAAACUGAAAAGUGUUGUAAUUAUUUAAGAAAUUUAUCCCAACAAAUUUAAUUUUUAAAACUAUCCUUCCCAAUAAUUUUAAAUUUUAAUUAAUUUUGUAAAAAGAGUAUGAAAAGUGUUGUAAUUAUUUAAGAAA